CGGUUCUCUCCCCAUCCGGCAGGGAACGAGCGGGUGGCGUACCAGGCCGUGCGAACACUCUCCGGCUUGGUGGAUCCUUUAGAUCAAAUAAAGUGGUAACCUGCAAGUGGCAUGAUUAGUACUAGAUUGACAGUUCGGUCUUUGCGUUUGGCUCUUAUCUGCUCAGCUCAACUAUGGGAUAAGAAGACUUGAUCUUGCUAGAGUGAGAUCCAUGAACCUGACAAGAAUUGAGAGAUGGAAGACGAUGUAUACAAGGGACAUGGAGACAAAGAGAAAGUAUCUAGAGGCAUUGUUGGCAGAAGAGAAAAUUUCAGUGUUUGUGUUCAUGUUGUAAUUGUCCUGCUGCCCCCUGAGGUGAGCUCAAGCCGUGUUUCAGUUUUAAAUUUGCGGUUUCAUGAUCUAGUAUUGAUUUGCUUGCAUCGCUACGAACCUAGAGUUCCAAAGUUAUUCGUUUCAGAAAUAUAUGCCCUACAUCAUAUUUUAGCAGUCAAGGUAAAUCUUUCCAGUAACUAGUUGACUCUUGGUUAGAUCAUCCGGUCAACAUAGCUGAAAGAAAGUUCAGUUAGAUUAAUAAUCAGGUUCUGAUUUCAUUGAUGGUACUAUUGAAAAACAAGUUGCAGCUUUGUAUUUCAAGCGGAAAGAAGAGUUCACAAAACACGGUGGAAGUACUUAUUCAAGAAUUUGUUUCUCUCCAAUCAAUUGUUUUUCUUCCCUUGCCUGGUAGGUUAAAGUAAUGCUUGGGAUUCAAAUCUUAGAUCCGUAGAAGCAUCUAAGAAUCACUGACAAAAUCUAUGUUAAUAGGAUUCUGGUAAUUCUUACGCCAGGCCAAAAAUUUGAUGCGGGUACUUCUUAUGUUACAUUUUUUAUGGGAACAUAAGACCAUGACAAUAUUUCUUACAUGGUGCUAUUUUACAGUACAUUAGACCAAUGCAUCCUUUUUUUCCUGUCCACAAAGAUUCGCUUCCUCUUCCUAACAAUUGGUCAAGAUAACUGAAAGGAGUUUCGAAUAUGAGGUUAACUAAAAUCUAGUAAUUUCUGCCAUGGUGCCAUCAAACAGAAAGUUGGAGCUUCGAAUGGCAAGUGGGAGUACACAUUAGGGGAUUAGAAAUUAGUCUUGUUUUCUUUUGAAAGGUUCCACAACUCAUAUUCACGGGAAAAGGGUUUUCUGUUCUUUCAUCCAUUGCCUCUGUUUCUCAGUGGCUGUUUCCCUUAUUGAGCGAAAGGGAGAUGAUAUAACAAGUGUUCAUGUUGUAGACUUGUGUAGUUGUGUGGCCUGAGCUCAAGCCUGAAUCCAGCGAGCCUUUUUGAGCGAAGGUUAUGUUAUUGUUUUCAUUUGCUAAUUUAUGUGUAGCCUCUCAAGAUUAUCUGCUCAUUUAUUAGGAUAAUAAGCUUAUAAUUAAUUACUGGAAUUCUGAAGCCAGAUGUAUGUGUCUUCACGUGCGUCACAGUCCAUAGAUUGUUUGGGUUAUAAAGGACGAAAUCAUGUGGCAGUCUUUGUAUAUAUUUUGCCGAUCCAUUUAUUCCGGAUUGGUAGCUUAAAUUCUGAGUUUUGAAGUUCAGGAGUAGCUAGCUCCCAUGUGUGGGUGUAUUUAAUAUUUUGUUAAUACUAGCAUAUGGCAGACUAGGUGUCCCUUUUUAAAUAAUAUAGAGGUGCAGUUUCUGCAUCUUGUAAUUUUAAUUAUGUAUUCUUUAUUAUCUUUCUUUCUCAGGUGUUCAACGCGUUCAAUGCUAGGAAACUCAAUGAGCUGAAUAUAUUAAGGUUAUUACAGGAAACCACCUCUUCGUGUCCAUUGUGGAGAUAACGAUUGUUCUCUAGGCUCUAAUCAUGGAGCUCCUUGGCAAGUUCACUUCAGUAGUCAUGCUAAGUUGGCAGUGGCAGCUGUGGUUAAUACCAAUUGGUCUUGCUCUUUUCUAGGUAAAAUCCUCCUCUGCUCUUUCUAUAAUGAAGAAGAUAAAUUUUGUCACCGCAACAUUUUAUAAAAUCUUCUACUUAUAUAAGAUACAUUAGGUACAUGAUGUGUUAUAUUUUUCCUGUCACUGUCUUCCCCUCGACCGAACAUCAAAUGAAGUGAUAUAAAGUUGGUAUCGACGACAUUAUAUUGUUCCAUUUUUUAAGGCUUUAUCAUGCCUCAUGCAUGAGCUAUAAUUAUCUCUGAUUUUUCGGUCUGGUGCCGGAGGUGCACUACAGUGGUCGAUACAGGAAGCUCCUGUCUCCACUGACGACUUCAGCUCUCCACUGCUAGAGGCCCCUAUGCUCUUAGGGCUACUACAAUAGCAGCGGAUUUGUGCCGGCUAUUAGCUCCUCGAACAAUUAACUCCAGUACUUCUUCCUGGAGGACUAGCUGGCCGCGACAAAGCGCCGGAGAAAAUGCUAGUGUUUGUGUUAGUUAGGUGUGUUCUUUGCCCAUUUUUAUUUACCUUAUCUUACAAUUCAUUAGUUGCUGACACAAAUUUGGAACAUAUUACUGAACAAAUAAUCUGACGGGUCCUACUUUCUUAUGGAGCAUUCAGUUUUAUUGUCCAUUUGGCAUUUUUUGUAACAAACCUACAACUGGAAAGAUAAUGCUGGUGAGCAUUCGAGUUCAAGACUGAUCAGAAGCAACCGAUCUGAGGGGCUUCUCAUAUGUCAUGCUAGCCCCAACAAGGUGCUGAUGAGGUGGCGUUCAGCACCGUGCUUGCUGGUAGGAUGGAAAUGAACCAGCAAAACGUCGUGCAGUGGAAUUAAUACAACAAAAAAUAUUUACGCUGAGUCAUGUACAUGUUUGAUGACUAAUUCCUUCAUUUUAGAUAGGCAUGUUAGGCCUUUCUCGUAUUUAUUCUACGUAACAUGAAUAUAUGCCCGUCAAUCUUACAUCGUGUAGUCAUGCAAUGUAAAUAUUUGGCCAACAGUUAGGUGCUCAUGAAUAAAUGUGCCAAUGACAAAAUGCAGCUCGUCGCUUUGCUUAAUGUUGUAAAUGUUGAUGAACAUCUCCCAUUCACCUUCAACGUAAUAUUUUCCACCCUCCUUUUGGAUAUCAAAUUCAUACCACUCAUGGGUUGGUUCCACUUCCAAUUUCCAUUCGCUUCUGAAACGGCGAAUGAAGUGCUCCCCUAGCAUGCAAGGUAACACCUACACAUUUAUAAUUGAUAUCAGAGUAGGCUACUGAUAAAACAUUGUGGACAAUAAAUAUUACGGCUUACCAUGCGAGUCUUGAACUCUCCUAAUAUUGUAAGUUCAUUGUUGUAGCCCAGUGAGAAGUCCUCAGCGCAUACAUCCUUUGGAUAGUUAUAAACAUUGCAUCUUGAAUCGGGAUUGUUGCCAUUCUGAAUGAUAUGAAUAAGCCUGUGUUAAACUUCUAUUUAUAUCAUUAUGUUUGGAGUCCUUUGCAUUUCUAACCACAUAAAUCCUACGUUCGAUCCGUGGUUUCGGAUUCACCAUGACCGAAAACUCAUACCGACGUGUUCGGAACUACUCGAAAAGCGGUUUUGGUCUUUUACACGCUAAAAAUAUGCUCUAUAAUUAGCUUACAUAGUUCUUGCCAUUCAAAAAUGAUAUCUUAAAAGUAGAUUUUUUUGUUAACUCCAACUUUUUUACUCAUUCCUUGCCAAUUAAAAAAUAGCUAAAUAUUUGUCCUACUAUAAUUACACCGAUUGAUUCUAGAAAAUACGUUUUCUCAUAGUUCUCGGGCCUAGGUUUAAUUUUUCUUUUACAUCACAUGCACAUUAAUUUCGAAUUGUGGAUGCUAUUUGAAUGCAAAAAAAAAAAAUUGAGUCACUGGGCUAUAGGAUGAAUACUAUAUUUUUUGAUUACGUAUACACAUGGACAUAACUUUGUUACAUCACAUGCAUGCUCGUUGGCUGGCGGACCAAACUUUGGAAAAAGAUACGUCGGCCAUAACUUUAUUACGUUGCAUGCGGUUAUAUUCAGUCACUCCUUCGGCGGCCACGCGCGACGUGCGGACAAGAUUUUAUUACGUCGCAACACUGCAGUUUAUACGUUGCGCGCGAGGGUCGUUCGGGUCUGGCUCGUCGGA